GUGUCAGCAGCCGCGGUAAUACGGAGGGGGUUAGCGUUGUUCGGAAUUACUGGGCGUAAAGCGCACGUAGGCGGAUCAGAAAGUUGGGGGUGAAAUCCCGGGGCUCAACCCCGGAACGGCCUCCAAAACUCCUGGUCUUGAGUUCGAGAGAGGUGAGUGGAAUUCCGAGUGUAGAGGUGAAAUUCGUAGAUAUUCGGAGGAACACCAGUGGCGAAGGCGGCUCACUGGCUCGAUACUGACGCUGAGGUGCGAAAGUGUGGGGAGCAAACAGGAUUAGAUACCCUGGUAGUCCACACCGUAAACGAUGAAUGCCAGUCGUCGGGUAGUAUACUGCUCGGUGACACACCUAACGGAUUAAGCAUUCCGCCUGGGGAGUACGGUCGCAAGAUUAAA
rnacentral:rRNA from 1 species